UACGGAGGGUGCAAGCGUUAUUCGGAAUUACUAGGCGUAAAGCGCGUGUAGGUGUCCUGACAAGCUCAUGCUGAAAUUUUUCAGCUUAACUGGAAAACGGGUUUGAGAACUAUCAGGAUUGAGUUCGGGUAAGGAGAGCGGAAUUCCCAGUGUAGCGGUGAAAUGCGUAGAUAUUGGGAAGAACGCCAGUGGCGAAGGCGGCUCUCUGGCUUGAAACUGACACUGAAACGCGAAAGCGUGGGGAG
rnacentral:rRNA from 1 species